GACGAACGCUGGCGGCGUGCCUAACACAUGCAAGUCGAACGAAGUGGCGAACGGGUGAGUAACGCGUAAUCAACCUGCCCUUCAGAGGGGGACAACAGUUGGAAACGAAUGCUAAUACCGCAUACGGAAGGAGGGGAUUGCGUCUGAUUAGCUAGUUGGAGGGGGAACGGCCCACCAAGGCCAAGAUCAGUAGCCGGGCUGAGGAGAUGGACGGCCACAUUGGGACUGGGACACGGCCCAGACUCCUACGGGAGGCAGGAGUGGGGAAUCUUCCGCAAUGGACGAAAGUCUGACGGAGCAACGCCGCGGGAGUGAUGACGGCCCUCGGGUUGUAAAGCUCUGUUAAUCGGGACGCGGUACCGGAAUAGAAAGCCACGGCUAACUACGUGCCAGCAGCCGCGGUAAUAC
rnacentral:rRNA from 1 species